rnacentral:lncRNA from 1 species
UAUCCCCAAGACGGAGGGACACCGAGAAGACUCCAAACAAACAGGCCUUCUAAAUCUCCCCAGUUUACCACAAUCAGCUUAUAUCUGUCUUCUAUCAUAUCUUUCGACAGCUUUCCACUCUUCAUCAAACCUACCAUAAAAACACUCAGGCUUACCUGUUUCUUUGGGUCUUCAUUUCAUUAUGAAGCUUCCCAUGUCACGUAAAACUUACAUCGAAUAAGUUUGUAUGCUUUUCUCCUGUUAAUCUGCCUCUGUCUGCUUAAUUUUCAGACCCAGCCAGAGAUUCUAAGACAGUCAAGGAAAACUUUUUCCUCCUCUACAGUUUCUGGAGCCCAAGAGCCACCCUCAGCUGAAGACAUCUUGCUGGUCCAGAAGCCACAGUUACAAGAUCCUGGACCUCUGACCAGAGCCAGCGGAAGGAACUGCCUGAGACUGAAAAGGAAAAAGGCUAAUUGGAAACAGACUGGAUGUUUUUGGCCGCUUGGAUGAGCUUUGCAGACAUCUAGACAGCUCUAAAUACCUCCUCUAUGACUUACUUGCCUAAAAUUUGGUCCACAGCGUCCAUAAGAUUACAUAUCAGGGCCAGGAAGGGUCUUGAAGGUCUCCUCUACAGACACUGGUAAACAGUCUAGGACCUUGCGCUUCCAUUUCAAUAUUGGAGAUUUCGCCUUUCCCUGGGUGGUGUGGCAUUCAUUCCUCAGAGCUCUGGUAGCGAAUUCCUUCCCCUUCUCCUUUCUGCACGGAUUGCUGUUAAUAAAACUAGGCAUUUCCUGCUUCACCCAUAGAUGGCGCCAUCUACUACAUAGAAACCCAUUAGAAAAUUUAAAGUUGGAUGUUUCUGAGAUAUAUGAAAUAAAUGUGC